AAUGUGAGUGUUGGACUAUAUGGUAAGAGAAUGUUUAGUUUUGUAAGAAACCGUCAAACUGUCUUCUAAAGUGGCUGUACCAUUUUGCAUUUCCACCAGCAAU
rnacentral:pre_miRNA from 1 species